rnacentral:rRNA from 1 species
AGAGUUUGAUCCUGGCUCAGGACGAACGCUGGCGGCAUGCCUAAUACAUGCAAGUCGAGCGGACUUGAAGAGAAGCUUGCUUCUUUGAUGGUUAGCGGCGGACGGGUGAGUAACACGUAGGCAACCUGCCCUCAAGUUUGGGACAACUACCGGAAACGGUAGCUAAUACCGAAUAAUUGUUUUCUUCGCCUGAAGGAAACUGGAAAGACGGAGCAAUCUGUCACUUGGGGAUGGGCCUGCGGCGCAUUAGCUAGUUGGUGAGGUAACGGCUCACCAAGGCGACGAUGCGUAGCCGACCUGAGAGGGUGAUCGGCCACACUGGGACUGAGACACGGCCCAGACUCCUACGGGAGGCAGCAGUAGGGAAUCUUCCGCAAUGGGCGAAAGCCUGACGGAGCAAUGCCGCGUGAGUGAUGAAGGUUUUCGGAUCGUAAAGCUCUGUUGCCAGGGAAGAACGCUUGGGAGAGUAACUGCUCUCAAGGUGACGGUACCUGAGAAGAAAGCCCCGGCUAACUACGUGCCAGCAGCCGCGGUAAUACGUAGGGGGCAAGCGUUGUCCGGAAUUAUUGGGCGUAAAGCGCGCGCAGGCGGUCAUUUAAGUCUGGUGUUUAAUCCCGGGGCUCAACCCCGGAUCGCACUGGAAACUGGGUGACUUGAGUGCAGAAAAGGAGAGUGGAAUUCCACGUGUAGCGGUGAAAUGCGUAGAUAUGUGGAGGA